GCCGAUGUAGCUCAGCUGGCUAGAGCAGCUGAUUUGUAAUCAGCAGGUCGUGGGUUCGAGUCCCUCCAUCGGC
rnacentral:tRNA from 1 species